rnacentral:lncRNA from 1 species
AUGAGAAUGUUUGUUUGCUUGGUUUCUCUGCUAAUCUCAGUGCUGGGAGCAGGUGCCUGCUUGGCAGCUCUGGAGUCCUGGACCAUCUCAGAAGAGCUACAGUCUGGUGGUAAAAGUACUGCUGAUGGGAGGUACACCUCUUUCCACAAGAGCACAUGCAACACCAACAACCAACUUCAGUGAACCAAGUAGAAAACUAUAAAGCCUCCAGCAUAAGGAAACUAUAACCAAGAACAUUCUAUUUAUUCAACUUAACCUUAAGCUCAUUGUUGAUUAGCCUCAAAUAAUGAUAAACUUACUGGUGUAUUUCCAUCUAUGUAUGAUUCAGGGAAAUUGAACAGGACUCAAUAUACUGUGUAAUCACUUGCUAAAUGAGUCUUGAAUACACAGGGAGCUACCUGAAGCAGCCUGAGAUUGGGUUUAUCCUGGCCUUGGGUUUAUAUCUAUGCUAUGGGGACUAAGUGGCAGGUGUGUGUGCAGGAGGGUGUUUGGAUGAAUUCCUGUUCUGAAAAUACACUUCAAAGUGUGUGUUUCACUGAUUGUGGCUCAGUAGGGUUGUUUCUAUUUAAAGGACAGCACAUUUUAUUUUUCAAAAGUGGUUACCUCUGAAACAUCUAUUAUUUAUAUUAAAUAAUGCAAUAUAUAUGAUUGGUUUAUGAAAACCCAGCCUACAGUUUUGUAGCAUGUAAUGGUGUUGCUUCCAUUUCACUAUCUCUCCUGCAAGAAGCAACCAACUGUAUUUUGGAAGGGUAGAAAAACUACUUCCCCAUCUUUCAAAUUAUCUCUGGAAUCACAAAUGUGGGUACAAAAUUCUACAAGUACAAAUGGUUUUCCCAAAAGGAAUAUAAUUGUGUCAUA